UUAGUGCCCUUUGUGUUUUGUGAGAGUGAAACAGCUAGUGCAGAGAACAGUAAGGCGGUUCCUCAAAAAUUAAACAUAGAAUCACAAUGCCAUCCAACAAUCCUGCUCCCAGCUAUAGCCAAAACAUGAAGCAGGGUCUCCAAAAGGGCCUGCACACCUAUGCUUCUAGCAGUACUACUCACAAGUCAAGAGGUAAAAGCAUCCCACUGUCCAGCAGGAGCUGAAUGAAUAUUUCAAAUGUGGGGUACAAGCACAAUGGAACAUCUCUCAUCUGGAAGACGAAGGAAAUUCUAGCGAGUGCCACAUGUGGCUGAACCUUUAAGACAUUAUACUAAGUGAAAGAAGCCGGAUACAAAAGGAGCACUAUUGCAAGGUUCCAUUUAUAACCCUCAAGGAGAAAGAAAAUGGAAUGGUGUCUCAGGGGCUUGGGGAGGGGAACAGAGAGUUAAUGCUUAAUGAACACGGCUUCCACCGGAAGAUGAAGCAGUUCACAGCUGGAUGGGAUGAUGGUCACACAACAGUGUGCAUGUGCACUGUGAACCUCGUGGCUGCACUCUUAAAAACAGUUGAGCUGUGCAUUUUCUGUUGUAAAUACUUCACCAUAAUCGGAAUUUAAAGUAGGACGCAUGUUCUUUCUCACUAGGCACUCCUGAUAAAAGCCAGUAAACCAAUUAACAGCAGAUCGCUCUCUUCAAGCCAGGAGAAGUGUGCCCAAAACGAUGGAUCCUACUGAAUGCUCUGAUGCUCUUCUGUUUUCGGUUGCCUCUGGGCCACUGCCUGUGUUUCCAGACCCUGCCUCAUGAGCACUGCUGGUCCUUAAUGAUGCCUACAGACUUAGAACCAGACAUUCACUAAGGAGACUUUUCACAGCAUUCUUCAUAUAAAACUACAGGCAGAGGACUUCAGAAAGGUGAAUUCAAAAGGAAAAGAAGGACAAGUUUACCAAAUGUAAAGAAGUCAGAGCUAUUAUCGAAAAUCUUAAUGCUCAUAGAUCUAUUUAAUUAAAAUAUUAAAAGAA